GAUGAACGCUGGCGGCGUGCUAAACACAUGCAAGUCGAACGGAAAGGCCCAAGCUUGCUUGGGUACUCGAGUGGCGAACGGGUGAGUAACACGUGGGUGAUCUGCCCUGCACUUCGGGAUAAGCCUGGGAAACUGGGUCUAAUACCGGAUAGGACCACAUUUUGGAUGGUGUGGUGGAAAGUUUUUCGGUGUGGGAUGAGCUCGCGGCCUAUCAGCUUGUUGGUGGGGUAAUGGCCUACCAAGGCGUCGACGGGUAGCCGGCCUGAGAGGGUGUACGGCCACAUUGGGACUGAGAUACGGCCCAGACUCCUACGGGAGGCAGCAGUGGGGAAUAUUGCACAAUGGGCGCAAGCCUGAUGCAGCGACGCCGCGUGGGGGAUGACGGCCUUCGGGUUGUAAACUCCUUUCGCUAGGGACGAAGCGUUAUGUGACGGUACCUGGAGAAGAAGCACCGGCUAACUACGUG
rnacentral:rRNA from 1 species